rnacentral:ncRNA from 2 species
GCCGUAGAGUCCAGAGCGAGUCAGACGCACACCAGUGCAAGGGAAUCCGGUGAGAGUCCGGAGCUGUCGCGCAGCGGUAUGGGUGACUGGCGGGGUAGGAACCACUGGACCGAGAGGUCCGGGAAGGAACCCCGUCGGAUCGAUCCCGAGUCCGAAAACCUGCUGGCUCGUCUCAUCCGAC